UCAGUUGUGUGGCAGUAGCCGCUUUGUAAACAUUUUCCCGUUGUUUGCACCACGUGUCGUUUCUCCCGUCGCCCGUUGUCGUCGUUGCCUCUACGUCGUUCGUCGCCGUCUUUCGUCGUCUUUAUCGUUCGCGUUACGUUACGUUAAACCAAAGAAAAUAAAUAAUACGAAAAUAUAGAAUACAAAUAAAUAAAGUAGUAAAUAACGUUGCAUACUCUUGCGGCUGUUGUUUGUGUUGCCCCGUUUCCGGAUAGCCUCUCCAAUCAGAAUCUAAUCAAUCUAUAUUUAUAACACAUCUGUCUUGAAAUUAAAUUUUUGAUUUUUUCGGUGCGUGUCUAUGAUUUAAGUGUAUCGAAAGUAUAUAAAACCAGCAGCUAAACUAAAAAUCGCUUUAACGACUUUAUCAAAUUAAUACAGUCAACAACAAAACAAAUACCAUUGCAUCAUCAAUAAUUUAUUAACAACAACAAGAAGAAGAACAUUUGCAUAAAACGCUCAAACGUCGUGUAAGCUUUUGAAAAUUUUAUUUAACGAAAAAGUA